UGAGGAAUCUUCCACAAUGGGCGAAAGCCUGAUGGAGCAACGCCGCGUGAAGGAUGAAGGCCCUAGGGUUGUAAACUUCUUUUAUAAGUGAAGAAUAUGACGGUAACUUAUGAAUAAGCACCGGCUAACUACGUGCCAGCAGCCGCGGUCAUACGUAGGGUGCAAGCAUUAUCCGGAGUGACUGGGCGUAAAGAGUUGCGUAGGUGGUUUGUUAAGUAGGUAGUGAAAUCUGGCGGCUCAACCGUACAGGCUAUUACCUAAACUGGCAAACUCGAGAAUGGUAGAGGUAACUGGAAUUUCUUGUGUAGGAGUGAAAUCCGUAGAUAUAAGAAGGAACACCAAUGGCGUAGGCAGGUUACUGGACCAUUUCUGACACUGAGGCACGAAAGCGUGGGGAGCGAACG
rnacentral:rRNA from 1 species